UCAACAUCCACUGCCCGUGCGGGCUGGUGGCCGCCUUCGUGGAGUGCGAGGGCGGCCACAGUCGCGGCCCGGUGCGUUUGUUUCGCGCUGGUCACAGUUUAAAGUCCAUCAUCCUGAAAGCGAAGAUCUUGCCUUUUUGUAUGGAAUUUUAUUUAAACAGAUGGAAAAAAUGCCUAUAGUGAGGAACCAACCACCAAUAUUUGUGUUUUUGCUUAUGAACAGGUGGACAUGGUGCCGCAGACCUCUCCUGCCUCAACCGCUGCUCCCCUCAGCAGUGUAUUUCCAUGCGUCUGCCUGUUCUGUACCCUGCUUUCUCUCUGGAGAAUCCUCUCACCCUCCUGCACAUCUCGUCUGUACCCCAGUUCUUGUGUAAGUAAAUGAAUCUUUUUUAAAAAGUGUAAAAGCCAUUCUUAUAAAGUUCACAGCUGUAUAGAAACAGGGAGUGGGCAGAGCUGAUUUGAGGGGCUGAGGUUGCCAGCGCCUGUUCUCGCUGUCAUGGUUGGUGCAUCAGAAAAAUCACCAACUCUGGCUUCACACAAUCUGGGUUCCAACCCACACUGCAGGCUUCGGCCUGGAGUCUCCUCCUGUGCAGGGCAGGCCGUGGGGGGCCAGGCUUCUACUCUGCCUGGGUCUCAGUCCCCCUUCACACUCCAGAGGGGUCUUCAAGCAGCUCAGCAGCAUCCUGAGCCCCAGUUUCCUCAACCAUGAUGCCCUACAGGACUGUGAACUGGCACACAAAGGCAAACGGACUGUGUCCCAGGGGUGCUUGCUUUCCUGGGUCUCAAGGCUGUGGUGCUGGGGUGGGACCUGGCUGUGCUCUUCUGCCCACUGUACUUGUUCUGGGAUCUGAGGUUUGGCCACUUAAAAUCAAAGAGUAGCCUUGGCCUGGGCCCCUCAGUCCAUGUAGGACAGCCAAAUAGUCGCUGAACACCAACUCCUCUCAGAAAAGGAGGCUUUAAUAGCAUGAACAUAGAGAAAACUGGAGAAAUCUUACCGAUGCUGUGAAAAACCAAUGUUGAGCACCAUAUGAUGGGGUUUUUGGAGUUGCAGGAUCCUUGGGUUCACUCUGGGAAAGCUUUCCUCAGAGCUCCCCUUAAGCGGCACGCAGCGAGUUCCCCAGGCAAGUUUCUCCAUGAGACGGAGAUGUUAGUUAUAUUUAAAGAACAGGUUUAUUAGGGAAAGGAAAAGGGACAG